rnacentral:lncRNA from 1 species
AUUUUGUUUGCUUGUGUUUUUGGGCUGCUGGGGACUGAGCGCCUCUGUUAGGUGGAGGUAACAUUGUGUGAUAGAAGUGUGACGUUGCACUAACUAUAAAUGUGAAAUCCAAAACUCGGCGUUGCUGAUUGUUACAGGGGUCUCCCUCCACGAAGCGCCGGGGUCAGAUGUUACAGCCAAUCAUAGAAGGAGAAACGGCACACUUUUUUGAAGAAAUCAAGGAAGAAGAAGAAGACGGUGUCAGCCUCUCCUCUGAGUUAGGUGACAUCUUGAGCACAGCCGUGCACACACAGUCAUCCCUGGAAAACUCAGAAUCUGAUGCUGAAGAAAAACUGGCUCGGGACCUCUGCUUGUCAAGUACUCGUGCGGCCUCUAUG